rnacentral:rRNA from 1 species
AACGAACGCUGGCGGCAUGCCUAACACAUGCAAGUCGAACGAAGGCUUCGGCCUUAGUGGCGCACGGGUGCGUAACGCGUGGGAAUCUGCCCUUUGGUUCGGAAUAACAGCUGGAAACGGCUGCUAAUACCGGAUGAUGACGAAAGUCCAAAGAUUUAUCGCCAGAGGAUGAGCCCGCGUUGGAUUAGGUAGUUGGUGGGGUAAAGGCCUACCAAGGCGACGAUGCAUAGCUGGUCUGAGAGGAUGAUCAGCCACACUGGGACUGAGACACGGCCCAGACUCCUACGGGAGGCAGCAGUAGGGAAUAUUGGGCGAUGGGCGCAAACCUAGUCCAGCCAUGCCGCGUGAGUGAUGAAGGGCGUAGGGUUGUAAAGCUCUUUUACCCGGGAAGAUAAUGACUGUACCGGGUGAAUAAGCCCCGGCUAACUCCGUG